GCAUGUGCUGCCAAGGUGGGCCAAGGUCAUGGCUUCCAUGGUGGGGUCCAGAGGCACCAAACCCCACCAUCAAGCAGGUAGCACUCAGGUCUUGGUGGCUGCCUAUCUUGCCAAGGACAUUAAGCUGCUGCUGUGCAACCCCUUGGCCUAUUAGGCAAGCUGCA